UAGAGUCUUAAAAAACUCCCAACCCAUGUGAAUUUACCUAUGUUGCCUCGGCAGGUCCUAUCUGGUAGUUACCCUGUAACGAGUUACCCUGUAACGACUUACCCUGUACCUACCCUAUAGCCUGCCGGUGGACCACUAAACUCUGUUUUUAAUGGAAAUCUGAGCGUAUUUUUAAAUAAAUUA
rnacentral:misc_RNA from 1 species